AGUGAACGCUGGCGGUAGGCCUAACACAUGCAAGUCGAACGGCAGCACAGUAAGAGCUUGCUCUUACGGGUGGCGAGUGGCGGACGAGUGAGGAAUACAUCGGAAUCUACUUUUUCGUGGGGGCUAACGUAGGGAAACUUACGCUCAUACCGCAUACGACCUACGGGGGAAAGCAGGGGAUCUUCGGACCUUGCGCGAUUGAAUGAGCCGAUGUCGGAUUAGCUAGUUGGCGGGGUAAAGGCCCACCAAGGCGACGAUCCGUAGCUGGUCUGAGAGGAUGAUCGGCCACAUUGGAACUGAGACACGGUCCAGACUCCUACGGGAGGCAGCAGUGGGGAAUAUGGGACAAUGGGGGCAAGCCUGAUCCAGCCAUCCCGCGUGUGUGAAGAAGGCGUUCGGGUUGUAAAGCCGUUUUGUUGGGAAAGAAAAGCAGCCGGUUGAUACGCCGCUGUUGUGACGGUACCCAAAGAAUAAGCACCGGCUAACUUCGUG
rnacentral:rRNA from 1 species